AUGACAGUGAUUGUUAGUAGAAGACACACACACAUGCACACACACGCUAGCAGCCACAUAGCUCUGUCGGUAGUGUCGUUGCUGUUCUUGUUAAGCACAGAUGUGAAGUACUACACAUUGCAAACAAAAUUCAAGUCUUAUCCCUUGUCUCGGGUUUCAAAAUACAAGUUUGCAGAGUGGUGUAACACAGGGGUGCUUUUGCAGUGGACACUCGAUAGAAGUUUGAUGCCUUUUCUCUUCAAUCAUAGUGGUGCUCCAGGUUAGCCUGGGAGACACUUGUAGGGGGAGUUUUUAAAGAAACAAAAAUACCUAAAAUUUAAGAUGUAAAAAAUACUGUCACUGUAAAAUGCACUUUAGAAAGUAAAUAAAACAUGUUUAAGCAAAAUUGGCUAAAUGUUCUUUAAGUCUGUUAGCAGACAUUUGUUUUCAGGUAAUGUAAAGGGUUUGAUUGAAUGGGUUAUACUGGUAUUUAGUUAUCUUAGUAUAGUUCCCAAUGCCAAGUCAAUGUACAAAUGUAAUUAAUAAUAAUUCAUGAAUUAACCUGUUCCAAUGACUUAACUUCCAAUUUACUUUUGCAGUCUUACAGAAAACGUAAUUACAUAUAUGAAAUGGUUAACAAGAGUUGCACAUUCUGUAUAUGUAAUUGGUAUUUAAAUAACUUAUUUUGGGGCUUAUCAUAUCAACUGUAAUUACUAUACAAAUAGCAAUACCUUCCUGCAAAUUGCAUUAGCCAGUGAAAAGCUACAGUGUUUAUUGUAAAAUAUAAGUGUACAAAUGAUUUAAUUUGGUUUCAACUAGCUAAUGAUUGUCUAUAAAGAUAUUCUUGUGUAUUGAAACAAAAAAUGAUGUCUAACUAUUUGUCAUUCUGAAAUAUAAUAAAAACGCUAUCGCCAUCCUCUGUGUUUACACACACACACACACACACACACACACACACACACACACACACACACACACACACACACACACACGACGCACACACACACACACGACGCACAAACUCACCACUUCUGUCUGAUGCGAGGUGUGGGCAGUGAAAGUUAUUGGACUAUUUGACUACUGUGGUUAACACCUAAAACCUGCACCACAUGUUGUUCUGUGAUUGCUGAAUUUCUUAUAUUAAUCUUCAUUUUAUGUGCGGAUAAUAAGCCUCAGUAUACAAUAACAGGCAUCGCACUGGAUUUUAUUAAAACUCUCUGGAUCCCAACAUAGGAUCAGUCUGCUGAAUAAGAGCAGAGGCUGAUUUCAUUUCUCUGUGGUUUGGAGAGGGAAGAACAAUCUGAUUUACUUUUGACCCAAGGCUCCCUGGCAUGGAUGUCUGCUUGGAGCAAUGAGUUCAUGCCCUCUUCAUAAGUGUGUAGGGUGGGGGGCNNNNNNNNNNNNNNNNNNNNNNNNNNNNNNNNNNNNNNNNNNNNNNNNNNNNNNNNNNNNNNNNNNNNNNNNNNNGUGUGUGUGUGUGUGUGUGUGUGUGUGUGUGUGUGUGUGUGUGUGUGUGUGUGUGUACCAUAGCCCAGGGACCAUAUAGUCCAGUUACAUUGAAGCAGUGUGUAUUAUAAUUUGCCUCCAUUAAUCAUAAGAGCUGGUUGAGUUUACACUGUCAGAGUCUCACAAACUGUCUCAAUGAGCAGUGCUCUGCUCAAAAGCUCUCUGUCACCCCUAUAUACCCUCACAGACCCUGGGUCCAGACGAAUAAGCAGUGNNNNNNNNNNCUCAAUCUGGGUCCAGCUGUUCUAUGAUUGCCACCAGAAGAUUGUUGUAUCUGGU
rnacentral:lncRNA from 13 species